CGGGGUGAGUAACGCGUGAGCAAUCUGCCCAUAUCAGGGGAAUAACAGUUAGAAAUGACUGCUAAUACCGCAUAGGACCACGGGGAGGCAUCUCUCUGAGGUGAAAGAUUUAUCGGAUAUGGAUGAGCUCGCGUCCCAUUAGGUAGUUGGUGAGGUAACGGCCCNCCAAGCCGACGAUGGGUAGCCGGCCUUAGAGGGUGAUCGGCCACAUUGGAACUGAGACACGGUCCAAACUCCUACGGAAGGCAGCAG
rnacentral:rRNA from 1 species